AUUGAACGCUGGCGGCAUGCCUUACACAUGCAAGUCGAACGGCAGCACGGGUGCUUGCACCUGGUGGCGAGUGGCGAACGGGUGAGUAAUACAUCGGAACGUACCUUAUCGUGGGGGAUAACGCAGCGAAAGCUGUGCUAAUACCGCAUACGCCCUGAGGGGGAAGGCGGGGGAUCGAAAGACCUCGCGCGAUUAGAGCGGCCGAUGCCUGAUUAGCUUGUUGGUGGGGUAAAAGCCCACCAAGGCGACGAUCAGUAGCUGGUCUGAGAGGACGAUCGGCCACACUGGGACUGAGACACGGCCCAGACUCCUACGGGAGGCAGCAGUGGGGAAUUUUGGAAAAUGGGGGCAACCCUGAUCCAGCAAUGCCGCGUGAGUGAAGAAGGCCUUCGGGUUGUAAAGCUCUUUUGUCAGGGAAGAAACACCGGCUCUAACACAGUCCGGGAAUGACGGUACCUGAGGAAUAAGCACCGGCUAACUACGUGCCAGCCGCCGCAGUAA
rnacentral:rRNA from 1 species